CCUACGGGAGGCUGCAGUCGAGAAUCAUUCACAAUGGGGGAAACCCUGAUGGUGCGACGCCGCGUGGGGGAAUGAAGGUCUUCGGAUUGUAAACCCCUGUCAUGUGGGAGCAAAUUAAAAAGAUCGUACCACAAGAGGAAGAGACGGCUAACUCUGUGCCAGCAGCCGCGGUAAUACAGAGGUCUCAAGCGUUGUUCGGAAUCACUGGGCGUAAAGCGUGCGUAGGCUGUUUCGUAAGUCGUGUGUGAAAGGCGCGGGCUCAACCCGCGGACGGCACAUGAUACUGCGAGACUAGAGUAAGGGAGGGGGAACCGGAAUUCUCGGUGUAGCAGUGAAAUGCGUAGAUAUCGAGAGGAACACUCGUGGCGAAGGCGGGUUCCUGGACAUUAACUGACGCUGAGGCACGAAGGCCAGGGGAGCGAAAGGGAUUAGAUACCCGUGUAGUC
rnacentral:rRNA from 1 species